UUUUAGCAAAAUUACAAUUUUACCCUAUACUUUUGAUUUCUUUAUAAAUUAGUCUUUAGGCUCGUAAAAUGAAAUUCAUGCAAUUUCAUCCCUACCCAAGCCUAGUCGAAUAUCAUACAAGCUUAUAGUAGCCCACACAUUUCAUUAAUUCAUAAAUUACACAAUGAAUAUUUUAUAUUUUUCAAUUUAACCCCUAAUUGACAAAUUUAUCAAAAAUCACUUAACGAAAGUUAUUUAUCUAACAAUAAGGAUUCAUUUUCUUCCAUUAAACAUCACAAGAAACUAAAAUUCAUUCAUGGUAAAACCCUAGACAUUCAAAAUUUUUUCAAAUUAGUCCAUGAGCUAGCUAGAUUAAGCUACAACGACUCCAAAAACAUAGAAAUCAUUAAAAACGGGACAAAAACGACUUACAUGCAAGCUAGAAUGCCAUGGCCGAAC
rnacentral:lncRNA from 1 species